ACUGUGGAGUGUACAAGAAUUUACGAGUAGAUAGAUAUUUUUUAUAUCAUCAAAAGUAUACACGAUGAAGCAGUAA
rnacentral:sRNA from 18 species